rnacentral:rRNA from 1 species
UACGUAGGGGGCAAGCGUUGUCCGGAUUUACUGGGCGUAAAGAGCGUGUAGGCGGCCACGCAGGUCCGUUGUGAAAACUGGAGGCUCAACCUUCAGACGUCGACGGAAACCGUGUGGCUAGAGUCCGGAAGAGGAGAGUGGAAUUCCUGGUGUAGCGGUGAAAUGCGCAGAUAUCAGGAAGAACACCAAUUGCGAAGGCAGCUCGCUGGGACGUUACUGACGCUGAGACGCGAAAGCGUGGGGAGCGAACAGG